AUGGUGUCAAGCACAGAAUAGCGACACUAUAAAUAUCAGUUUCCACUAUCUCUUACAUGCCUGUUUUUACCAUCUUUUAAAUUUUUUUAUUGUUUCUAAAAUAGUUACCUACGGUAAUACUAAACAGGAAUUGUCAAACUCAGAAGCAGAGGCCAAAAAGGAGAAAAGAAAAAAAAUUUACAAUGUAUAUCUAAAUAAGAUGUUGACUGUGUGGUAUUGGAAUCAUGGAACUUGGGCUUUCUUUAAUCAACAAAUACUUGUUGAGUAAUAUUUGUUCAUUGUAUCCUACUAAACAAAUAAAAAAAAAGGAUGAAGUACAUACAGCCCUCAUCCUCAAGGACUGCAUUCUAACUAGGAUGUGAGACAUGAAUACAUGAAACUAAUAAACAGUAUGAGGUAGUGAAAGUCAAAUGCUUGAGAUUUUAUAGGAAAAUAAAUUACUACAGGCAGGGCAAACUAUAGGGAGAAGGUGUGAAUUGCACUAAAGCUUGAAGGAAGGCAGUAAUUCUGUCUGAAGAUGUCCUAGAAGUAAAGAUGGGAGGUGGCUAUGCAAACAGAAUAUUCCUGAGCUUUUGAAAAAUCUGUGCAGCUCAAGCAACCCAUAAGAAAGUAGUUCAAGCAUGGCUAGGUAGUACAUCAGGAGACCAAGGGAGGAGGAUCACUUGAGCCCAGGCUAUUUUUCCAGCAUGGGCAAAAUAGCAAGACCCUGUCUUUUUAAAGAAAGUAAAUAGUUUUAAGAUUUUGAAAAAUGAGGCUGGUGAGAGGCAGAAGAGAAUUCAUUGAAGGAGACAGAAAAGAAAAAUCCAUUGGAAGAGAUCUAAAUAUCUAGGUCUUGAUUGAACCCUAGAUAUUUAAAGAAGAAAGGACAAUAAAUAGAACUGAAGAAAGGUUAAGGAAAACAAAUGGGGGGUAUUGUUUUGCCAAUAAGGUCACAUUAAAAAGUCUUAUUUCAGAAUAUGUGUAUAUAUAAUAGGAUAUAAUAUAUAAAAUCAGAUAUUUAGAAUAUAUGUAACAAAAUUCAUAUUAACCUUCAUCAAGUAGAUAAGGUGACCACAUUUUCUUAACCAGAGAUCAGGUUCCAUGAUUUGACAAUGUGACAAAGCAUUUACAAUCAGUUCUGUCCUAGAAAUCCCAGGAUCUGUAAUAUCCCCAUAAUAAGCAGUGUAGUUUAGAGUUUAAAAAUUAAAAUAAGCAAAUUCAAAAGGCAUUAUCCCAUUGAGGUAAUGUUCCAAUGUUGGAUACAAAAAUUGGAAGGAUGAGGGAAUAGGACCUAUAAGAAGAGUUGAGUAAGUUGGAAAAAAAAUAAAUAACCAUGAUCCUAAAGUUAGUGCUAUCUUCCAAACCAAAAAAAAUUAUAUCCAGGAAUUUAUUUUUAAACUUACAAAAUGGUGCAUUUUCUAAACCUUUGAGUGCUAUGCAAAUGUUGGUUAUUAAUUGUUCAUAGAGCUCCUUUAAUUAAUUAUCCUAAUUACAAUGCCUAUACUGUGAGGUCAUUAAAGCUAAAAAUCUACAAUGCCCACCAGCCUAUAAUCCCAGCUAGUUGGGAAGCUGAAGUAAGAGUAUUCAAAGUUCAAAGCCAAAAAUUUCAGAAAUUUAGUGAGAUCUCAUCUCAAAACAAAAGUUGAAAAUUUUCCUGCUCAAACCGAUGACCCAUCAGCUUGUGAUAAAAUAUUAUUUCACUAGAAAUUUG
rnacentral:lncRNA from 1 species